AGUAGAAUGGCUGAGAGUAAGGUGAUAGAUUGUAAAUCUAUGUAGGAGUUUAAUAACUCUUCUACUA
rnacentral:tRNA from 1 species